CUCUUUCUCUUUCUGUCUGUCUCUCUCUCCCUUCUCUCUCCUCUCCCCCUCUUUCUCUCUCUCUUCUCCCUCUCUUUCUGUCUCUCUCUCUCUUUCUCUAUCUUGUUCUCUCUCUCUUUCUGUCUCUCUCUCUCUCUCUUCUCCCUCUCGUUCUCUCUCUUCUCCCUCUCGUUCUCUCUCUCGUCUCUCGUUCUCUCUCUCAUUCUCUCUCUCUCCCCUCUCUCUCUUCUCUCUCAUUCUCUCUGUCUCUCUCUCUCUCUCUCUGACCCAGUCUAAUGUAGACAAGUCUAUCACUUGUUGACAGGAGUCUGGCCCAUGCGGCUACCCACCUCUUCCUUAAUGGUAUCCUGUGUAAGGCCUGGGAGACCAAGCCAGCUCUCUGAACAGGAACAGUGGACUUCUUCUACUCGGCAGCUAUACCUCCACAACUAGUACGCACACCUGCGUUUUGUCUGGAGCUUUUCUUUUCUCCUCUCCCUGCGGUCACAUUACGGGAACAAAGAGAAAGCAGUACGGUGGUGGACAGAUGGGGUGCGGCACAAAUCACACCCUUUCCACCUAUAGACAGACAGAAAUGCACUACGUUUGACCAGAGACCUUUAAGUGGGGUAUAGGGAAUAAAGGAUGUCAUUUGGGACAAAGACAAAACAUGCUGGUCUGAUGGAGAGGUUCUGUUCCACGGUGUUAUCUGUGUCUAUCAGUAAUACAUUAUGAAGAGGUUCUGUUCCACUGUGUUACCUGUCUCUAUCAGUAAUACAUUAUGAAGAGCUUCUGUUCCACUGUGUUACCUGUCUCUAUCAGUAAUACAUUAUGAAGAGGUUCUGUUCCACUGUGUUACCUGUCUCUAUCAGUAAUACAUUAUGAAGAGGUUCUGUUCCACUGUGUUACCUGUCUCUAUCAGUAAUACAUUAUGAAGAGCUUCUGUUCCACUGUGUUACCUGUCUCUAUCAGUAAUACAUUAUGAAGAGGUUCUGUUCCACUGUGUUACCUGUCUCUAUCAGUAAUACAUUAUGAAGAGGUUCUGUUCCACUGUGUUACCUGUCUCUAUCAGUAAUACAUUAUGUGGAGGAUCCGUUCAGUAAGGAGCCAGACUGAUCUGAAAACAUUCCUGUAUACCAUCAGACGAUGAAACUAUUUAAACCAGCCCGAUCACUACAAAUAGACUUCGAUCUCAGACGAUUAGAGAGAACCAUGUGAAAUUCGAUAUUUUAAAUGCCUUCCUCGGUGCUCACAAAAAAAAAAAGAAAAACAA